rnacentral:rRNA from 1 species
AGCGAACGCUGGCGGCAGGCUUAACACAUGCAAGUCGAGCGGGCCCUUCGGGGUCAGCGGCAGACGGGUGAGUAACACGUGGGAACGUACCCUUUGGUUCGGAAUAACGCUGGGAAACUAGCGCUAAUACCGGAUACGCCCUUUUGGGGAAAGGCUUGCUGCCGAAGGAUCGGCCCGCGUCUGAUUAGCUAGUUGGUGGGGUAAUGGCCUACCAAGGCGACGAUCAGUAGCUGGUCUGAGAGGAUGAUCAGCCACACUGGGACUGAGACACGGCCCAGACUCCUACGGGAGGCAGCAGUGGGGAAUAUUGGACAAUGGGCGCAAGCCUGAUCCAGCCAUGCCGCGUGAGUGAUGAAGGCCUUAGGGUUGUAAAGCUCUUUUGUCCGGAACGAUAAUGACGGUACCGGAAGAAUAAGCCCCGGCUAACUUCGUG